ACAGCCGCCACCGCGGCUCAGCCCGGGAACCCUGCGGGCCAGGCUACGUGGAGCCAGUGCAGGAUCUUCAAGCAUCAAUUACUCGGACUCCAAAGCACGUGAACCGCAGAUUUCCGGGAUGGUGUGUCUGCAGAGCUGUGUUCAGAGAAGCUGGUGAUGGAUGGGUCCAUUUGGACUCCCGGAAAGGGCCAGACGGCCUAGGUUUUUGAAGAAGCAUUCUGCAUCCACUUUUCCACUUCCCCCCUUCCAAAGCUGCUGCAGUCUGGCUUCUGACUUCACACUCGCUGGAACUGUUUAUAGCGAUGGCCCUGCUGACCCUGGAAGCAGAGUUGGCCAAGCGUCCUGAGCACUGAACGUGGUUUCUUGGAUCGACCACCUGCUAGUGGUGUGCCCUUGGCAAAGCACCCAUCCUCGUCUGUCUUAUUCUCCUCAUUGGUAACAUAGAUUGUUGUGAGGACCUAAGAAGACGAUGUAAGAAAGGUGUUAAUAGGGCUGGCCCACAGGUGGCGUUCAAUGUCUGUGGGAGUCGUUAUUGUUAUUAUUGCUCUCACCAGUGGUUGCCAGCCUUCAGUGGGCAUCAGAAUCACCUGACAUGCUGGUUGGAACAGAUUGCCGCCCACCGCCCCACCUCUGCCCUCUCUAUCCCCAUCCCCCGCCCCCCCUCCCCUCCCCUCCCUCUGAUUCAGUAGGUCUGGGGUGUGGCCAAGAAUGUGCAUCUCUGUCAGGUUCCUGGUGAUGCUGAUGGUACAAGAACCGUACUUUGAGAACCACUCUGGUCUCAACCUUUGCCCCUUCAGGUGUACCAGUAGCAUUGACAUCGACAUCACCUGAACGUCCACACCCAGACUUCUU
rnacentral:lncRNA from 1 species